GGGGGGGGGGGGGGGGGGGGCUGGCGGGGGCGGGGCGGGCGGGUGGAGGGGGCUUGCUCCGGGAGUCAGCGGCGGACGGGGGAGUGAGGCCUAGGGAUCUGGCUGGUGGUGGGGGAUAACGUCCGGCCACGGGGGCUAGUACCGCAUACGUCCUUAGGGCUGACGUGGGUGAUCUUCUGACCUCGCGCUAUCACAUGAGCCUAGGUCGGGUUAUCUAGUUGGUGGGGUAACGGCCUACCACGGCGACAAUCCGUAACUUGUCUGAGAGGAGGAUCAGUCACACUGGAACUGAGACACGGUCCAGACUCCUACGGGAGGCAGCAGUGGGGAAUAUUGGACAAUGGGCGAAAGCCUGAUCCAGCCAUGCCGCGUGUGUGAAGAAGGUCUUCGGAUUGGAAAGCACUUUAAGUUGGGAGGAAGGGCAGUAAGUUAAUACCUUGCUGUUUUGACGUUACCAACAGAAUAAGCACCGGCUAACUUCGUG
rnacentral:rRNA from 1 species